rnacentral:rRNA from 1 species
CGGAGUAACACGUAGGUAAUCUACCUUCGGGUGGGGAAUAACCCAGGGAAACUUGGGCUAACACCGCAUAAUGCAGCGGCACCACAUGGUGACAGUUGUUAAAGCGGGGGAUUUUAGGACCUCGCGCCUGAAGAGGAGCCUGCGGCGGAUUAGCUUGUUGGUAAGGUAACGGCUUACCAAGGCGACGAUCCGUAGCCGGCCUGAGAGGGCGGUCGGCCACACUGACACUGACAUACGGGUCAG